rnacentral:lncRNA from 10 species
CCCAGCCUCUCUCAGCCUCCGAGUCCUCAUCUAUAAAGUUGGUAGCAGAAAACUCACUCUCGGGAUCAUUCUGACAAACAGACAGCACGUAAAGUACUCGGUGUGUGCAGAGCGCUCAGAAUCCUACUCACGUCUCUUCUCUCCUCCAAUGCUGUGACAAGAAAACCACCCGCUUUGGCAGCGCAGGAGGCCCAGCUCUCUGCUAGCAGCUGGCCACUUAACUCUGGACCUCCAGGGCCCAGCUGUCUGUGACCACCCCAAAUGGAGGCAGUGCUGUCUCCUUCCAGGAGCACGAAAUGAGGUGUCCCCUUGAGGGCCAGAACCUCGCUGCACCAGUGGAUGUCACCUGAGAAGUGGUCACAGUGUUCACUGGGCAGGUUAACUUAUUCCACAAGUACUUGGACACGCAACCCUGAAGGAGGCGUGGUUCUGUCGGCCCCAGAAUAUGAGCUCGCGCAAUCCUCACGGCAUUCCUGUUGGGUACUCGCCAUCGCCUUCCCAUUUUACAGCACUUCACGCACCUGGCCUCGUGCAGCGAGAGCUCCUCUGGGCCUGGCUCCUGUCACUCAGCACGAUGAUUGUGAGUUUCCUUCCUGCGCUGCAUAGGUGAGGAGCUCGUCUCUGCUCACUACUGAGCACCGUUCACCGUGUGGACACACAGAGCUGUGCAUAUUCCUUCACCUGUUGGGAGACAUGUGGGUUGCUCCCUUUUGGAGAUACUAUGAAUGUGGCUGUCAUGAACAUUCAUGCCCAAGACAACAAAAACACCGACAACUCCAGCGAGGUCAAGCGCUGCACUUCCACAGACAUCCCCACCGCUCCUCUGGUGCGUCCUUCCACCACUGCCCUGGAGCUGUUCCAAGGCUCCUCAGCCUCCCUGCCAACUGACUGACUGCCGGACACGUUCAACCCAGAGAUCUUACAGUUCAAAAUGCCGCGUUGUGGCCACUUGUUGACGGGCGCCUUCCACCAGACGGGGAAACAGCUUUACUGUGCAGCAGGUCCUCCCUGGGAAACGGGGAGUGAGAUGAGGCUGCAGGUGAAUGGGCUGAAACCUCCCCCAGCCCCUCCCGGCCUCACCUAGCCGUGUCCUGCUGCAGGAGGUGCCUGCGGAGUUGCUUCACCGGGUCUGGAUGAGUUAACCUUGAUGCCCUUCCUCCGGCAGAGAGGGACUUCUGUGCACAACACGCCAACCAGAGGAGCCCGUCUCAUCAGAAAGGCGGGCUCUCCAGCACAGCUAGAGCAGGUGGGACAAUGAGUGAGGCAAGAGGGGCUCAGGCAGCCCAGCUGACGGAUUAACUGUGAGUGCGUGGGGUGGGAGCGGCCAGAGAGCGGAGGUGGGAAGCGAGGCUUGAGGAAGAGGGGCAGCCGGCAGCAGGGGCUGAUGUCUCUGAGAAGAGAAGCCCAUCCGUGAAAGGCCGAAACUUCAAAUAUUCAACUUGCAUACCUGGGGAUCCUUGUGUUCUUUUGCUAGCAUUUGUUUUAAGUAUGCAGGGCCCACUCCCACAUUCUCUGAACCCUGCCUGUCCUGGACGCCAGGAGCUUUGGUCUCCAUCACUGGGAGAGGUGAGUCACCCCAUCUCUGUCUCCGUAGCCACUGACCCACGGACUUUUAUCAUUUUCCCCCAAGAAUUCUGUGAAAGUGUCCCAAUCAUUUUUCUGCCUCCGGUCUCAUCUUUCUCAAAUGUUCCCUCAACAACGAGACCUCUUCUGAAACACAAACCACCACACUGCGUCCCCAGAGCCGAGAUGGCACCACUGCACUCCAGCCUGGGCCACAGAGCAAGACUCUGUCUCAAAAAAAAAAAAAAAAUAGAUUACAGUGAUGGAAAUAUAUUAAAAAUCACUGAAUGAACUGUAUACUUCAAAAGGUGGAAUUUUAUGGCAUAUAAAUUAAUCUCAGUAAAGCUAAUUUUAAAAUAGAAUGAUGCUAUCUAGGUCCCUCAGGCUCCAUUCUGAUGCUUGAACAAAUGCUUGUUGAGUCCCUAACAGUGUGUCCCAGUGGAGCAUGACAGAAAGAGUUCUGGCUGGAAAGACUUUCAAACCAAGAUCAUCAGUCCCCCAUCCAGAGGCAGGGAAAACCUCAGUGGAGCCUCAAGGAGCACCCUACUCCAGGCAACAUGGUUUCUCCCUGUGCCCACCAAGAAGAGUAAUCCCCAGAGAGAUAAAGAAAUGAUUCACUUCAUGAAAGUAUUUACCUUUCACCCACAGUGUCUCCAGGAGGUCUGCCCGUGGCGUACGUGUGCUGUCUGCCCAGCACCACCAGUUCUGGGAGCAGCACGGCCUGUUUCCUGGAAGCUACAUCCACGUGCAUUGCAUCCAUACGACUCCUGUGUGCUUUGUUCCCAGGAUUGGUUAUGGGCUUGGGCCUGACUCAAGACUGCGUGACUGCAGGGCUCAGCCUGACUGUUACUAAAGUGUGCCCCAUUCCCUGAACGUGUAGACUUGGGCAGUGAAGGAGGGGGAGCCCUCUCUCUUUUUGACUGUGGCUAGGCAAUAAAAGUCUAGGAAGCUCUCAGCAGCCAGGGAGGAAGGCAGGCGCUGGAGCGAUAGGGGCCAGUGGGGCCAGGAUGAGGGAGAAUUUCCUACAGCGCUGGUGUUCCAGUUCUGAUGAGCCUCAGGCCCACAGGCAUCAUGGCCCCCCACGCAGCUACCCUGGCUUCUGUGGCAAAGGACGAAGAUGAACCCUGGCAUGAUUUCAUUGUUUUAUUAAAUUUCAUUGUCUCCUUUUCACUUAUCUUAUUCAAGUUGGGUUUCUUUCACUUGCUAAUAAAAGUCUGAGCAGAUAGAUUACUAAAAAUGAUUUUGUUUCACCGACUUUAACUCAUUCCAGCAUUAUUUACUGAGGCACCGCUGUGUGCUAGGUGGCAUUCCAGGUGCUGCGUAUUUAUCCAGGAGCCAGCCAGAAGCCCCACCCUGUGGAGUCUGUGUCUUCACCUACAGGAAAUUGCUCAUCCCGUCAUGGAUUCACAGACACUUACUGAAUUCCUAAUAAAUAAACUCUUCAUUCAGUAGCGUUAAAUAAGUUUCUUGAAGCUAGACUGUUGAUAUUUUGAGAGAUAUUGUCCAUACUCCUGGUCACCUCUGAUUUAAGGGCAUGCAGGACCUGAGCAUUUUACCAACCUACUUAGUGCAUUAGCCAGGGUUCUCUAGAGGGACAGAACUCAUAGGAUCUAUGUAUAUAUGAAAAGGGAGUUUAUUAAGGGGAAUUGACUUACAUCAAGAGUGGUUUGCCAGGGGCUCUCGGGCCUUUGGCCACAGACUGAAGGCUGCGCUGUCGGCUUCCCGACUUUUGAGGUUUUGGGACUCCUCGGACUGAGCCACCACUGGCUUCCUUGCUCCUCGACUUGGAGGCAGACUUUCAUGGGACUUCACCUUGUGAUCCUGUGAGUCCGUUCUCCUUAAUAAACUCCCUUUCAUGUACACAUAUAUCCUAUUAGUUCUGAGGAAGAGUGGAAGUUGCACUUAACUGAGAACGUGUUUAGUCAUUUCCCAUUAUGCAAAACACUGCGGGGAUUUCUCCAGCCCUGCUAUUAUGUGGGAGAACAGGUCUCAGGUAAAAGUUCAAAAUUAUCGAAGUGAAGAAAGUAAUUCACUAAAGGGUCUGAUGAUCAAGCUUGUCAGCUGCUAAUAAGACAGCUGAGAAGAAGACUGAGCUGAAUGUUGCACGUGGAAAUGCCAAAGUCUUCACUGAUGUCAAUAAAAAUAAAAAAAAAUAAAAAAAUAAAAAUAAAAAUAAAAAAAAAUAAAAAAAUAAAAAAAAAAAACUGGUUUUGAUGCACAGGUGAGACUAAUAUCUCUAAUUGUCAAUUGUCCAUAAUUAUUGAUAAAUUAGCUUUCCCUCCGCCUUUUAAAGUCUGGAGUUUGGGCUGCUAUGCCAUUCUUAUCUAGUGCCAAUAUUUACAACACAAAGAAAUUUAGCAUGUUUUAAACAAAUAACACUACUUAUAAGUAGAAUUCAAGUCUUUGUCUAAUCCAAUGUACAAAAAAAAUUGUAUUUAUGUCCUGAGUUUCACAAUUUUUCAUCUUAAACUAUUUCAGUUUCUCAAUUUUUAAUCACUUGUUCUGGCCACAGAACCAGCCAACAAUUCACGCGCUGGACAUGUUAUUUGAAUGUAUGGUUUUCUGUUGUGUUUGGAUGGGACUUACUUUCUAUUAUUAGUCUAUUAUUUCUAAGUGAAGGACAUGCUAAAAAUGCCUCCAAAACCCAUCGUAUAAUUCAUCCUCCUGGUGUCUUACUUUGUAGUCUUAGGAUUAAAGGGAGAUCAUUCUGAAACAUCGAAAUUUGCAUGUUAAAGGGGACUGCCUGAAAGGAGGAAGCGCUUUUCUCAGGAAACCAUAAUUACACAACAGAAUAAGAAAGUGGUGAUCGCAGUGGCCUGCGCCUAAACACCGCCUUCUUCAGGAUCGUAAAUUCCUAAGAAUCCAGAGCCGAAAGAGACCCUGCAGAUAGAAAAUCAAGUUCAAGCCUGUCGUUUAAACGAUGGGAACUUGAUGCACACACACAAGGAAAUUAACCGACUUUCAUAGGUUAACUUUGCCCAGUGAUGACUGAGAAUACCUAAAAUAAAUGACUUUCCAUGAGUCCUUGUAUGAAGAUUCUGGGUGACAGGGGAAAUGAAUUAGAAAUGGGUAAAUAUACAUGCACCCCAGUUACAUAGCAGCAAAAUCAGAGCUUGGAAUUCCUGCCUCUUUCCUAAUGCUGUGACUGACCUCCACUGCAAUGCUGAGUUGCACUAAUUAGUUCUCAUCCAGAUUCGCCGUCACGUUUUCUAAAGUCCCAUUCCUAAAUAUACUCUUCUAGUCACCUCAGAUGUGAAGAUUUAAGAAUAGACACUUUGUGUGAGCCGAGGUUGUGCCACUGCACUCCAGCCUGGGCGACAGAGCCAGACUCCAUCUCAAAAAAACAAAAAAGAAUAGACACUUUGUAUGUCUUUAUUAAUCACAAUUUGGGGAAUAUGCAACGCAUAUAGAAUGAAGAGUAUCCGCAAAUGGUUAAAUGCCACAAGUACACUUUAAAAAUAAAAUCAGAACCCGGGUCAGGCAUGGUGGCUCAUGCCUGUAAUCCCAGCACUUUGAGAGGCCAAGGCAGGUGGAUCACCUGAGGUCAGGAGUUUGAGACCAGCCUGACCAACACGGUGAAACCCCAUCUCGACUAAAAAAUACAAAAAUUAGCAGGCGUGGUGGUGGGUGCCUGUAAUCCCAGCUACUCGGGAGGCUGAGGCAGGAGAAUCACUUGAACCCAGGAGGCGGAGGUUGCAGUGAGCCAAGAUCAUGCCAUUGCACUCCAGCCUGGGCAACAGAGCAAGAUUCUGCCUCAAAAAAAAAAAAAAAAAAAUCAGAACACACUGGAGGACGUUAGUAAACCCAGCUGUCAGAAAAUGUUUAAAUAUAGGGCAAGUAAGCAAAGUCCUCAUCUAUCAAUCUCUGUUUUCAGACUCUUCAUCUUAGUGCACUCUGGCUGCCAAAACAAAAUAGCAUAAACUGGACUGCAUAUAAAUAGCAUAAAUAAAUUUCUCACGAUGUGAGAGGCUGGGAAGUCCAACACACCAGCGAUUUCAUGUUCCAGUUCAUAAACAGCAUCUUCCCACUGCAUCCCCACAUGGUGGAAGGUGCAGAGCAGCUCUCUGGGGCCUCUUUCAUGAGGCCAUUCAUCCCAUUCAUGAGGGCUCCACCCUCCUGAUCUAAUCCCCUUCCAACCCAUGUCCUACUACCAUCCCUUUGAGGGUUAGGAUUUUAACAUGAAUUUAGGGGCAAUACAGGUAUUUGGACCAUAGCAGAUAUUUACUACAAUAAUAGCCUUUUAACCACAUCUUCAUAUAACACAAUAGAUCAAAUGAUCAAAAAAUUAGUGUUAUUCAUAUAAAAAUAUACAUACAUUCUAAUCAUGAAUAAGCAAAAAAAAAAAAAAAAAAAAAGCUGAAAUUCUGUCAUAAAACAACAGGAAUGUAUUCCCCCACAGUUCUGGAGGCCCGAGGUCUGAGGUCAGGUGUAAGGGCCGCCUUCCCUCUGAAGGCUCUGAGGGAGGACCUGUCCUUCCUCCCCAGCUCCAGGCAGUACCUGCGUUCCUUCGUUAGUGACAGCCUCGCUCCCACCUCUGCCUCUGUCAGCGCGUGGUGUCCUAAGCUAUGUGUGUGUAUGUGCCACAUUUCCCCCUUUGUGUGAAGACACCAGCCAUUGCCUUGGGGCCCAUCCAAAUCCAGGAUGACCUCAUCUUGGUUAAUUACACCUAUUUCCAAAUAAGGUAACAUUCAGAGGUUCCAGGUGAACAUGGAUUUUUGGAGGCCACCUUUCAGCCCAGCACAUGAACAUUCUACAAAAUAACUGGCCAGUAGCCCUCAAAAACCUGAAGAUCUUAAAAAAGAAAGAUUCAGACACUGUCACAAAUAAGAACAGGGGUCCCCAAUCCCUGGUCCGUGGCCUGUUAGAAAUCAGGCCACACAGCAAGAGUUGAGUGGCAGGCCAAGGAGCAUUACCACCUGAGCUCUGCCUCCCAUCAGAUCAGUGGCAGCAUUCGAUUCUCAUAGGAGGCCAGACCCUAUUGUGAGGGACCUAGGUCAUGCACUCCUUAUGAGAACCUAAUGCCUGAUGAUCUGAGGUGGAACAGUUUCAUCCUGGAAACAUCCCCCAGACCCCCAUCCAUGGAAAAAUUGUCUUCCACAAAACCUGUCCCUGGUGCCAAAAUGGUUGGGGACCACUGGAUUAGAAGACAGAAAAAGACAAGGCAACUCAUUCACCUAAUCCUAAGCCGGAUGUUGCCCCAGAAAAGGCCAUUAGUAGGACAACUGAAGGGAUCUGAGUAAGGUCUGUGGAGGGCUUCAUAGCAGGUGCCAAAGUGAGUUCCUUGGUUUCCAUGUUGUACAACAGUUAGGUAUGUCCUUCAUAUUAGAAAGCUGGGUCACCAGUAUACCAGAAAUCUCUGUACUAUUUUCACAGCUUUUCUGUAUGUCCAAAAUAUAUUUUAAACAAAAUGUUUAAACAUUAGUAUGACUAAAGAAGAUGGACACUGCACAGCUAAGACGUUUUAAUGUAAUAGAAUGUAAAGAACCUUGCAUUCCACAAUUUGAAAGCACACAUUCUUUCCCUGCACACUAAGAACGGUUAUAAAAACCACCUGCAAAGCAGACCACAAAGCAAUUCUCAACAAAUACCCAAGAAUUGGGAUCAAAUGAAGCACAUCCACCAUGAGGCUAUAAAAUUAGAAAAUUAUGACAAAAAGAUAACUACAGCCUGCCCUAUGUACAUGUGGACAUCACACAUAUAAACACAUACUUUUACACACACACAAAAUCAGGGCCAAAGAAAAAGCCAAAAAGAAAAUGAUUAUUUUAAGUGAGCAGAAAUGAAAUCCAUGUGGGAUAAUGCAAGGAUGGAAAGAGACUCGUAGUCAUCAAUACAUAUGUCAGGAAAAAAGAUGGGCACUGAGCUUCAAAAGAAGAAGCUAAGUGAGCAAUCAGUAAAAUUAGUAAUGAAUAAAGAAGCCCCAGAGAACAAGGGAGACAGAAGCUACAGUGUUCACUGCAGCAGACUCUUUAGCAUUCAAAAGUGGAAAAACCCUGACUGUCCAUAGCAGAGGAAGACAGACGCUAGGGUUUAUCCACGUAAUAGCAUACACGACAGCUGUCAUGAUGGGUGAGCUGGAGCUACCUGUGCAUAGCAGCUACAUCUCAAAAGCAAAAUGUGAAACAAAAAGCAAGUGACAUAAAGGCACAUAUAGGCUAAUGCAAUUUAUGUGUUUUAAACACACAGAAUACCUGGAAAGCACAAAGUAUGGGAUAUUUUUAGAAGCAAACAAGUAUCAUACAAGUGCAAAAGCUUGCCUGAUCAUGGUACUCACUUACUUCAGAAGAGUGAUUAUUUCUCAGAGGAGAGAAUGAGAGCAGGAAUUAAUGAGCUUCAGCUUUUUCAGUGUUGCUAUUUAUUAAAAAAAGAAAGGAAGGAAAGAAAGGAA